rnacentral:rRNA from 1 species
AGAUACGGCCCAGACUCCUACGGGAGGCAGCAGUGGGGAAUUUUGGACAAUGGACGCAAGUCUGAUCCAGCCAUGCCGCGUGCGGGAAGAAGGCCUUCGGGUUGUAAACCGCUUUUGUCAGGGAAGAAACGAGUUUCUCUAAUACAGAGACUUAAUGACGGUACCUGAAGAAUAAGCACCGGCUAACUACGUGCCAGCAGCCGCGGUAAUACGUAGGGUGCAAGCGUUAAUCGGAAUUACUGGGCGUAAAGCGUGCGCAGGCGGUUAUGCAAGACAGAGGUGAAAUCCCCGGGCUCAACCUGGGAACUGCCUUUGUGACUGCAUAGCUAGAGUACGGCAGAGGGGGAUGGAAUUCCGCGUGUAGCAGUGAAAUGCGUAGAUAUGCGGAGGAACACCGAUGGCGAAGGCAAUCCCCUGGGCCUGUACUGACGCUCAUGCACGAAAGCGUGGGGAGCAAACAGGAUUAGAUACCCUGGUAGUCCACGCCCUAAACGAUGUCAACUGGUUGCUGGGAGGGUUUCUUCUCAGUAACGUAGCUAACGCGUGAAGUUGACCGCCUGGGG